AUUGAACGCUGGCGGCAGGCCUAACACAUGCAAGUCGAACGAGUGGCGGACGGGUGAGUAAUGUCUGGGCAACUGCCUGAUGGAGGGGGAUAACUACUAGAAACGGUAGCUAAUAGCGCAUACUAUCAGAUGUGCCCAGCUGGGAUUAGCUAGGUGGUGGGGUAACGGCUCACCAAGGCGACGAUCCCUAGCUGGUCUGAGAGGAUGACCAGACACACUGGAACUGAGACACGGUCCAGACUCCUACUGUGGUCAGCAGUGGGGAAUAUUGCACAAUGGGCGGAAGCAUGAUGCAGCCAUGCCGCGUGUAUGAAGAAGGCUUUCGGGUUGUAAAGUACUUGCAGCGGGGAGGCGUUACCCGCAGAAGAAGCACCGGCUAACGCCGUGCCAGCCGCCGCGGUAAUAC
rnacentral:rRNA from 1 species